rnacentral:rRNA from 1 species
CACGUAGGGUGCGCGCGUUGUCCGGAAUUAUUGGGCGUAAAGAGCUCGUAGGCGGUGUGUCGCGUCGGCCGUGAAAACCUGCAGCUUAACUGUGGGCGUGCGGUCGAUACGGGCAUCACUGGAGUUCGGCAGGGGAGACUGGAAUUCCUGGUGUAGCGGUGAAAUGCGCAGAUAUCAGGAGGAACACCGGUGGCGAAGGCGGGUCUCUGGGCCGAUACUGACGCUGAGACGCGAAAGCGUGGGGAGCAAACAGG